rnacentral:sRNA from 1 species
UAUUCUGCCCCAUGGGGAAGGAUGAGAAGCUUCGACUAAGGUUCGACUCGAGCGAAGCGAGAGA